CCAGAAUUCCACCCUUGUCUCAUUCCGAGAUUGUGUGCUGAGGGUUUUCAACUGCAUCUCUAAAGGGAAGGCCAAAGAAAGAGCAACAGGAAAGGAUGGUAAAAAGGGGGUAGAAAGGAAGAAGGAAGGGAAGAAAAAAGGGAAAACAGCAAGCUCUCUUUCCAGAGCCACACAUUUUUUUCUGUUUGCUCAGUGGCAGUCUGUUAAAGAAAUACUUCAUUGUCACUGAACACAGAGUCAUUAAAGGCACCUUGGAAAUUUGGACCCUUUUACUAGAAUCAGGGCUUAAAUAGCAACUUAAUUUAUGACACUUCUCGAGGCUGAUGGCGUUUUUGCUCUAAGACCUGCCUUGCAAGAAAUGUUAAAAGAAGUGCUUUAGAGAGCAGGGAAAUUCUAUAGGUCAGACACUUGGAUCUACAUAAAAAAAGGAAGAAACCAAAGGAGAAAUAAGUGAAGGCAUGGAAACCUUGUUCCACACAUUGCCUGGUGCCCUGUCCAGCGCUGCAAGGUGCACUGCGUCUCCUCUGCCCAGCAAGCCACAAGCCCCUCCAGGGUGAGAGGAGAGCCUUCCCUUCCCUUGGUCCUCCCUUCGACACAGGGAGCUGGAGCUGGACAGCCCCAUAGGCACUCAGGGCUUGAAGAAGAUAUCUAGAAAUGUCAAAGCAGAAGAGCCUCGGAGAUAAUCUGAACUAUUUCUGAGUUUAUAUAAGGGAAAACUGAGACUGGAGAGAACUAACAUGUCUAAUAUUACAAUGGAAACUUGUAAUAAAACCACAAAUUGAGUCAAGUCUCCUGAUUCACUAUAUGAGCUUCUUUUGACUCUAAGAAACUGUCCUUCACAAAGUUCCCAAGAAAGAAUGGAUUGGCCAGAUCGAUAGAGGAAUUUCUGAGGAAACUGCACUUGUGUUU
rnacentral:lncRNA from 10 species